UACGAAGGGGGCUAGCGUUGUUCGGAUUUACUGGGCGUAAAGCGCGUGUAGGCGGACUUGUAAGUUGGGGGUGAAAUCCCGAGGCUCAACCUCGGAACUGCCUCCAAAACUACAAGUCUGGAGCAAGAUAGAGGCAAGUGGAAUUGCGAGUGUAGAGGUGAAAUUCGUAGAUAUUCGGAAGAACACCAGUGGCGAAGGCGACUCACUGGACACAUAUUGACGCUGAGGUGCGAAAGCGUGGGGAGCAAACAGG
rnacentral:rRNA from 1 species